AUAUAGGCGCCAGUUGGGAGAGUUUACUUCACUGGUGAGCACACAAGCGAGCACUACAAUGGCUAUGUCCAUGGCGCUUAUAUUGCAGGCAUUGACUCUGCAGAAAUUCUUAUCAACUGCGCCCAGAAGAAGAUGUGCAAGUACCAUGUCCCGGGCAAGUAUGACGACUGAGUUCGUCC